UUGACGGGGACCCGCACAAGCGGUGGAUGAUGUGGUUUAAUUCGAUGCAACGCGAAAAACCUUACCCACCUUUGACAUGUACGGAAUCCUUUAGAGAUAGAGGAGUGCUCGAAAGAGAACCGUAACACAGGUGCUGCAUGGCUGUCGUCAGCUCGUGUUGUGAAAUGUUGGGUUAAGUCCCGCAACGAGCGCAACCCUUAUCCUUUGUUGCCAGCGGUCCGGCCGGGAACUCAAAGGAGACUGCCGGUGUCAAACCGGAGGAAGGUGGGGAUGACGUCAAGUCCUCAUGGCCUUUAUGACCAGGGCUACACACGUACUACAAUGGCCGGUACAAAGGGCAGCGACACAGCGAUGUGAAGCCAAUCCCGAAAAGCCGGUCUCAGUCCGGAUUGGAGUCUGCAACUCGACUCCAUGAAGUUGGAAUCGCUAGUAAUCGCGGAUCAGCACGCCGCGGUGAAUACGUUCCCGGGCCUU
rnacentral:rRNA from 1 species